GCCAUGGGACCAGGCGCGGGCGGAAGCUGAAGCAACAGGCGGGAAGCGCGAGGUUACGUGCUGGCUCAGCCUGGCGCUGUGCUGGGUUAGGCGCGCGUAACACACUGAGCCUCAGUGGGCUGAAAAGAGCCGGGCUCUGUAUAGGAUUGCAGGUUUAGGCGGAGUGGGCGGCAGCAAAAGAAAGCCACCAUGCGUUUCCCUCAUUUCUUGGUUUCCUAUUAAUGUAGCUGUAAGUAAGCGCAUACAGUCAUGGGAAAAAGAAUUUGAAUUCUGUGGUGUUGCAUGUGAAGUCAUAACGAACUCAUCUGUUUCUUGGCAGGUCUUAGAGUUAGCUAAAUACAACCUCAGAUGAAGGGCAACACACGAUGUAUUACACCGUCUCAUUGAUGUAUUUAACAGAAAUAAAGCCAAAAUGGAAAAGCUGUGUGUGAAAAAGCAUUUGUACAUCUUAUGAUUCAAUAGCUUGUAGAACCACCUUGAGCAGCGAUAACAUGAAGUAAUUGUUUUCUGCAGGACUUUAUUAGCCUCUCACAUCAUUGUGGAGGAAUUUUGGCACGUCCUUCACAGUGUUGCUUCCGUUCAUUGAGGUUUGCUGGCAUUUCUGUAUGCACAGCUCUCUGAAGGUCCCACGCAGUAUUUCAAUUGGAUUGACGUCUGGGUUUUGACUGGGCCAUUGCAACACCUUGGUUCUGUUCUUUUUCAGCAAUUCUGUUGUACAUUUGCUGGUGUGCUUGGGAUCCUUGUCCUGUUGCAUGACCCAAUUUCAGCCAAGUUUCAGCUGUCGGGCAGAUGGCCUCUCAUUUGACUCUAGAAUACUGUGGUAUACAGAGGAGUUCAUGGUCAGCUCAAUGACUGCAAGGUCCCCAGGACCGGUGGCUGCUAGACAGUUGGUAUGAGGUGCUUGUGCUGAUAUGCUGUGUUUGGUUUUUGCUAAACAUGGUGCUGUGCCUUAUGGCCAAACAUCUCCACUUGGGUCUUGUCUGUCCCAAGGACAUUGUUCAGAAGUCUUGUGGUUUGUUCGGCUGCAACUUUGCAAAUCAAAGCCGAGCUGCCAUGUUCUUUUUAGAGAGACGAGGCUUUCUCCUGGAAACCCUUUCAAACAAACCAUACUUGUUCAGUCUUUUUCUAAUUGUACAGUCAUGAACUUUAACAUUUAACAUGCUAACUGAGGCCUAUAGAGCGUUUUUUGCAAUUUUUCUGAGCAUUGCAUGUUCUGACCUUGGGGUGAAUUUGCUGGGACGUCCACUCCUGAGAAGUCUGGCAACUGUUUUUAAAGUUUUUCACUUUUGCAUAAUCUUUUUCACUGUAGAAUGAUGGACUUAAAAUUAGUUGGAAAUGGCCUUAGAACCCUUCCCAGUUUCAUGGGUGACAGCACUUGCUACUCUAAGAGCAUUGUGUCAUCUUUCCUCCUUGGCAUUGUGUUAAAAUACACCUGAAUGCUCCAGACCAGCAAACUGCUAAAACUUCGGCUUUUAUAGAGGUGGGCACACUUGCAAGGGCAUCUGAUUAGCAGCUUCUAUCUGCUGUUUAGCCACGAAUUCCUAUGGAACACGUUGGCGACUAAUAAACACACAAUAAUUACCAAAAUAAUUAUACAUUCUUUAUCAAUCUUCUGAGAAAAAUACAAAACCUUGUGCAAAGCCACAGAAACUUGCAAACUACCCAGUCUAAGAUGAACUUAUAAUGUCUGAUUUCAAUAGAUUUUUCAAAUGCUUAACUCAGUCUUUUGUUUUCUUUAUCUUUUUAGGUAAGUUCAUGAAGAGACCAACAAAAGGUAAGUUCGGUGUUGUUCACAAUACCGAGAGAUGCUAGUGAAGUUGUAAAUGGAUGUUAAUGAAGUUGUAGACAGGGUGCCAGCGUUUUGCACCUGUUUUGCCCUGGCAGUCCAAGUAAUCAAGAGGCCGCUGUUCGCCCCCAAUGGGGCCCUUUUACAGGGGCUUACAGGUAGCACACUCCGAAGGUAGUUUUCCGGGCUUCUUCAGUGGUCUAAUCUCAAAGCCUUGAUACGUAUAUUGAUAUUCAAUUUCAUAGAGAGUACUAUUUCUUAGCUUAAGCUUAAGAGACUGAUUUGCUUAUGCCAUGUGUUGUUGUUCAUCUGAGAUUAUAUUUACCUAAUUUUAACACCUGCUAAGGAACAGAUGAUGGCUAUUAUGUCCUGAUAUGUAAAACCACAAAAUUCAAAGAGGGUGCACUUUCUGUUUCCCAUGACUGUAGAUGCCAGAAGUUCACACACGAAAUAGGAGCACUUUUGCAAUUACGGGAACAUCCUUGUUCUCAUCAAGAGUCAAUGCCAGGAUGUCUGUCACACUCUCCCCACCCAUCCCUCACCCCACCCUCCUGCCCUGCUUUGGCUUCUUAAACAGAAUUGUUGGGAGGCAGACUGUAAACAGCCUUGUUUUUAUUUUGACAUUGACACCUCACUUUCCGGCCAUAUAGGUUUUAAGGCUGCUGAAAUCCAAGAUUGUUGAAUAGCAGGUUUAAUCUCACUGUGAGUUGAGUUGUAUGUACUUAGGACAACUGCAACUCAAAAACAGUCAGUGUCAUUUACCAGGUGGGUAGACGGUUAUUGUUGGGGAAAAUGGGGAAGUUCCUGAGCAUGUAUGCCCUAAAAAACGAACAAAACCCACAGCCUCAAAAACUCCGCAAAGGUAAAAUAUUUCUUUUCUUAUGUUUAUGAUUGGUUAAUCUAUGAUAGCAGUCCAUAUUGUACAAAAAGUAAUUAACUUGUGCUUUCUAAAUAGCAUCCGACUCUUAUAUUUAUUCUCUGGCUCAGUGGCCACAUUUAGAUGUUGCGAUAAACCAUUAUUUGCUCUGAUGAAAAGGCGCCACACCUUUUUUCUUUCACUUGUCUCCUCCCUUACAUAGGAUGGAGUGACAAUUAAAAGUCCCAGUUGCAGGCUUUCAUCUGAGUGUAGAAAACUGCAGUUUGUACAAAUUACUGUAUAAUUCAAGCAGGAUCAAACCAUGGUUUGAUAUCCUGAUUUGUUGACUAAAUUUAAUUGGUAAAAACCACAAGUUCUUGUAUUUAGAUAGGAAAGGAGGUUUGUUCCAGAUCAAAUUGGAAACUUUUAACUCUCCUCACAUUUGGAGGAAGUGGGACAAGGAAGCGGGAGCACACAAGCCCAAGACUUGACAUGGCACAUUCUUUAUAACACUAACCUAGGGUAUAGUAUAAUGCCUGAAUAUGGCCAGUUCACUCUUAUUUAUAUUUACUUUGGAGUAAGUGAACUCAAUGAGUUUUAGUUCCAAGUUAGCAUAUUGCCUGUGCCAAAAUAGUUGCUUACAAUAGGAUACACAGCUGUGUUCUAAAAUGACCACAUCACAAAAAUUCCCAUAAGUUAGGGUUGUAGAAAAUGAUGCCGCAGGAAUCUCCUAGGCACUGGUUCAAAUGUUUAGGACAGAUGGUCAGCUGAUGAAUUAUUUGAAGCUAUUACUAAAUUUUCCACUAGAGGGAGCAUGCUCCUACAGUUGACAGUUAUUAUUUACAAGUACAGUAACGUGAAUGUUUGGGAGUUUCUAAUUUCAAAAGUUAAGCUUUAUAGUCUGCUUCUAUGUAUAGGGUUAAGUGUGAUAUUCAUUUUCAGUGGAUUAAGAUUUCUCUUACUCUGUAAAGGACCAGGCUGCUCAUACUUCUAUAUACGUAUCUUAUGGAGCUGCCAUUGGAAAUGCAGGAAAGUUACUAGGCGACACUGAGACAGUGUUUGGUGCCUAAUUCUCAGCUCCAUCAAAACUGGUUGAGAGGCAGGUAUUAUUGAUAGAACUGUUACCAGUGGAAAGAGUGCAUCUGUUGUUGUUGUUGUUUAGUCGUGUCCGACUCUUCGUGCCCAUGGACCAGAGCACGCCAGGCACUUCUGUCUUCCACUGCCUCCCGCAGUUUGGUCAAACUCAUGCUGAUAGCUUCGAGAACACUAUCCAACCAUCUCAUCCUCUGUCGUCCCCUUCUCCUUGUGCCCUCCAUCUUUCCCAACGUUAGGGUCUUUUCCAGGGAGUCUUCUCUUCUCAUGAGGUGGCCAAAAUAUUGGAGCCUCAGCUUCACGAUCUGUCCUUCCAGUGAGCACUCAGGGUUGAUUUCCUUAAGAAUGGAUAGGUUUGUUCUUCUUGCAGUCCAUGGGACUCUCAAGAGUCUCCUCCAGCAACAUAAUUCAAAAGCAUCAAUUCUUCGGUGAUCAGCCUUCUUUAUGGUCCAGCUCUCACUUCCAUACAUCACUAUUGGGAAAACCAUAACUUUUACUAUACGGACCUUUGUUGGCAAGGUGAUGUCUCUACUUUUUAAGGUGCUGUCUAGGUUUAUCAUUGCUUUUCUCCCAAGAAGCAGGCGUCUUUUAAUUUCGUGGCUGCUGUCACCAUAUGCAAUGAUCAUGGAGCCCAAGAAAGUAAAAUCUCUCACUGCCUCCAUUUCUUCCCCUUCUAUUUGCCAGGAGGUGAUGGGACCAGUGGCCAUGAUCUUUGUUUUUUUGAUGUUGAGCUUCAGACCAUAUUUUGCGCUCUCCUCUUUCACCCUCAAUAAAAGGUUCUUUAAUUCCUCCUCACUUUCCGCCAUCAAGGUUGUGUCAAGUGCAUCUGUAGAAACACUAAAAUAAUUUCAUAAAAAAAGCUAUUCAUGAACAUUCCUGCCUACUUAUUCACACACACACAUGGAAUGUGGAAGUUCCAUUCCCUAAGAUGGGAGGGGAGGGGAGGGGACAAGGAACCUGUAGCCCUCCAGGUGUUGUCAGUUCCACCUUCCUUCAGCCCAAGUGCUCCAGGAUGAUGGGAGUUGUCAUCCAGUAACACCUGGAGGGUCACAGGUUCCCUGCUACCCCUGGUUAAGUGGCACAUAUCUGUUGUAAAAAUAAAAACUCUUAAAUACUUAUGAAAAGCAAAUAUUCAUUUCCUGGAGUUUACUGAGGUAUGAUCACAGGCCCAUUAAAUAUUCCAUCUUAUAUUUAUUGAGAACUUAUUAUCACUCCUGAUCUAUUUCCUUCCCACUUUUUUGAAAGUAGGGGAAGACUUCUGUUUUGAUAUUUUCAUUUCUCUUCCUGAAGAAAUCCUACUUUAUUUACAUAUUUUACUUGCUUUGCGUUCUGCUUUGUUUUAUUAUUUCCAACAUGAAAUGUUAAAACAAAAUCUUUAAAAUACAGUAGUACCUCGUGUUACAUACGCUUCAGGUUACACACGCUUCAGGUUACAGACUCCGCUAACCCAGAAAUAGUACCUUGGGUUAAGAACUUUGCUUCAGGAUGAGAACAGAAAUCAUGCAGCGGCGGCGCGGCGGCAGAAGGAGGCCCCAUUAGCUAAAGUGGUGCUUCAGGUUAAGAACAGUUUCAGGUUAAGAACAGACCUCCAGAACGAAUUAAGUUCUUAACCCGAGGUACCACUGUAAAAAUUGAUGUUUAUUAACAUGAAGUUAUUUCCCCCUUAAAUUUUGUAUAAUAAAGAUUUCAAUAAAAUGGUAUAUAUUUAUAAGAUUCAUUGUACCACUUCAAAAUAACCCUGGCAGAGCACAUGUCCAACCUGCAGUUUCCAUCCUCAUAAAUCUAAGUUUAGCUAUUGCUUCUCUUUUUCGGAAGUUGGUAUCAUUUAAUGUGGCCUUAAGGCAAAAGUUAAUAUAAUGGAACAACCUAUGGAGUAAUAUACCCUCGUUCAAUUUGCUGUGCAUACUAAUAACCCGCUUUUCUUAGUUAUACACCUGUGCAAAAGAUAUACUCUGUCCUUGUUAUUGAGUCAAAUACUGUACUUCCUGUUAAAAAUUCCUGAUAAAAUAUUAUUAACUUAUCAAGCUUAUCAAUAAUAUUUCCUUCUCUUUGCUGAAAUGUUCCUUUCUGCUUUACAGAGUUUUACCAGUAGAUGGAGAUAU